GGAAGUGAGGGAGUGUCAUGGCAACCGUGCGCGCGUCGCGGCGCUCGGGAGUCCCGCGGAGCCGGAGCCCCUGAGGGCCGGCCCGGGGCUGUCGGAACCUCUCGGUGCGGGCCGGGUUCGCUCGGAGCCCCUGAGGGCCGGCCCGGGGCUGUCGGAACCUCUCGGUGCGGGCCGGGUUCGCUCGGAGCCCCUGAGGGCCGGCCCGGGGCUGUCGGAACCUCUCGGUUCCUGUUCGUUGAGGACGACGCGGACCGAGGCGGGAGAGGAGACCAGAAACCCGGGCGGUGAUUUUUGGUGAAGUCACGAGUCGCUAUGAAGGCCCUGUACGGUCAGCAGAAUUCUCCUGGAGAGGAAAUGACAUUUGUGUUCCAAGAAAGAGAGAACCUGCCUCCCACCAGAGACCACGAUGUGAAGGUGCAGGUCAGAGCCUGUGCUCUGAGCUGGGUGGACACAAAGCUCCUGUCAGAAAUUAAACUGAAGAAGGAACUUGUGCCUGUUGGGCGAGAAAUUUCGGGAGUUGUGCUGGAAGUUGGAAGCAAGGUGACCUUUUUCCAGCCAGAUGAUGAAGUGGUGGGAAUUUUGCCCCUGGAUUCUGAGGAGUCUGGUGUUUGUGAAGUUAUCCUGGUUCACGAGCAUUAUUUGGUUCACAAGCCACAGAAGGUGUGUUGGGUGGAGGCCGCCGGGACGGUGCGGGACGGGCUCCGCGCGUACACGGCCCUGCACUACCUGUCCCAGGUGUCCCCUGGCAGCAGUGUCCUCGUCCUGGAUGGAGCAAGUCCAUUCGGUACCAUCGCAAUUCAGCUGGCCCAGCACAGAGGGGCCAGAGUCAUCUCCACUGCCCACAGCCUGGAGGACAAGCAGUACCUGGAGAGGCUCAGACCUGCUGGGGAAGGAGUCCGGCAGCCUUUGGUGGCCCGAGUGAUCGAUGUGUCCCAUGGGAAGAUUGACGUGGCCGAGAGCUGCCUGGAGGAGACGGGCGAGCUGGGCGUGGACAUCGUGCUGGAUGCUGGAGUGAGGUUGUACAGUGCUGAAGAUGAGCCAGCUUCCAAAUCCCAGCUGCUGCCUCACAAGCACGACAUCAUCACUCUCCUUGGGGCUGGGGGACGCUGGAUAACGACAGAGAAGAACCUGCAGCUGGAUCCUCCAGACAGCCAUUCCUUGUUCCUUAAGGGAGCCACAGUGUCCUUCCUGAACGAUGAGAUCUGGAACUUGUCCAAUGUGCAGCAGGGGAAAUAUCUCGCCAUCCUGGAAGAUAUCAUGGAGAAAUUAUCAAAUAAUAUUUUCAGGUGAGAGACGUGAAGUUUUUUGUGGCUUUUUAAAUUCAGCAUUAGAAGUAGAAAACUUUUGCCAGCACUAACACUCCUGAGCAGAGCUUCAGGAAAUAAGAAGACUCCCAUAAUGAGGCCUCAGCUGGAUGAACCAAUCCCAUUGUACGAAGCCAAAGUUUCUAUGGAAAUAGUUCAGAAGAAUCAAGCAAGAAAGAGACAAGUCAUCCAGUUCUGACACACAACUUCUGAUUUCUCAGCCUGGGGAAGAUAAAGAACUGUAUUUGUGGAGUAAAUCAGCAUACACUUGCAGGAAGCAAACAGAAUUUAAACAUUCUUUGUACCUCA